rnacentral:rRNA from 1 species
CAACUUUCAACAACGGAUCUCUUGGUUCUGGCAUCGAUGAAGAACGCAGCGAAAUGCGAUAAAUAGUGUGAAUUGCAGAAUUCAGUGAAUCAUCGAAUCUUUGAACGCACAUUGCGCCCCUUGGUAUUCCAUGGGGCAUGCCUGUUCGAGCGUCAUUUGU